UUGGGCAAUGCCUUAUUGUAAAAAGCUCUAGAUUUGCAAAAAAUGAGAAGAGCCCGUGUACUGUUAUAUCAACAGAAACAGCUAUUUGAAAGCUGCUGGAUGAAGACUGUUAGCCACACUGACUUAUUUUAAAGCAAAGAUUUCACUUUUUUUUCUUUUCAGAUAGUGAAUCAGAAUGCUUCCUACUUACCAGUGCCACUGGAAGAAAAGUGAGAUUCAUAGCUUCUGCCAGCCAUUACUAUAUAGGUGAAGAGGCCAGGACAUGCCUUAUACUGGAGCUUCACAAGGCCUGAAACUACUAUUGCCAAAAUGGACCAGAACCUGAAUUUUAGAUUCCUACUAAG